AAAAGUAACCAAUUGUCAAAUUUAUUUCACAUAGCAACAAUACAGUAUUACGUUUCAGAAGAUGAAAAAGUUUUCAAGAAGUCUCAAUACGUAUAACUCGACAUACUGACAGGAAACGCUUCAGUUAAAGAUGUCAGUUCAAAACAAAGUCACAAUUUAUUUUCUGACACCAGAGUGAAAUGACAAAUUCUUGCUUAUUUGAAAAUGUAACAUAGUUAAAACACCUCUGAUCAAUGUGAAUUAUCAACAAAAUGUUUCAUACAGAUAUUUUGCGCAUUUUAAUUUAGUUUUUAGUUUUUUUUCUCAAAUUAUCUUGUAAAAAAAAACCAAAAGCAUGAGGAUUCUGUGCUAAUGUGCUCAAAAGUGAAUAUAAUCAGAUCAUCAGAUAAUUUCAUGUUUUUCACCAGAUU